CUUAGCAUAUCAAUAAGCGGAGGAAAAGAAACCCACCGGGAUUGCCCUAGUAACGGCGAGUGAAGCGGCAAGAGCUCAAAUUUGAAAGCUGGCCCCCUCGGGGUCCGCAUUGUAAUUUGCAGAGGAUGCUUCGGGAGCGGUCCCCAUCUAAGUGCCCUGGAACGGGCCGUCAUAGAGGGUGAGAAUCCCGUAUGGGAUGGGGUGCCCGCGCCCGUGUGAAGCUCCUUCGACGAGUCGAGUUGUUUGGGAAUGCAGCUCUAAUUGGGUGGUAAAUUUCAUCUAAAGCUAAAUAUUGGCCGGAGACCGAUAGCGCACAAGUAGAGUGAUCGAAAGAUGAAAAGCACUUUGAAAAGAGAGUUAAACAGCACGUGAAAUUGUUGAAAGGGAAGCGCUUGCGAUCAGACUCGCCCACGGGGUUCAGCCGGCAUUCGUGCCGGUGUACUUCCCCGCGGGCGGGCCAGCGUCGGUUUGGGCGGUCGGUCAAAGGCCCCUGGAAUGUAACGCCUCUCGGGGCGUCUUAUAGCCAGGGGUGCCAUGCGACCUGCCCGGACCGAGGAACGCGCUUCGGCUCGGACGCUGGCAUAAUGGUCGUAAGCGACCCGUCUUGAAACACGGACCAAGGAGUCUAACAUCUACGCGAGUGUUCGGGUGUCAAACCCGUGCGCGCAGUGAAAGCGAACGGAGGUGGGAACCCUCACGGGUGCACCAUCGACCGAUCCUGAUGUCUUUGGAUGGAUUUGAGUAAGAGCGUAGCUGUUGGGACCCGAAAGAUGGUGAACUAUGCCUGAAUAGGGCGAAGCCAGAGGAAACUCUGGUGGAGGCUCGCAGCGGUUCUGACGUGCAAAUCGAUCGUCAAAUUUGGGUAUAGGGGCGAAAGACUAAUCGAACCAUCUAGUAGCUGGUUCCUGCCGAA
rnacentral:rRNA from 1 species